rnacentral:rRNA from 1 species
GAUGAACGCUGGCGGCGUGCUUAACACAUGCAAGUCGAACGGAAAGGCUCCUGCUUGCAGGGGUACUCGAGUGGCGGACGGGUGUGUAACACGGGGGUGAUCUGCCCUGCACUUCGGGAUAAGCCUGGGAAACCGGGACUAAUACCGGAUAGGACGAUGGUUUGGAUGCCAUUGUGGAAAGUUUUUUCGGUGUGGGAUGAGCUCGCGGCCUAUCCGCUUGUUUGUGGGGGAAUGGCCUACCAAGGCGUCGACGGGUAGCCGGCCUGAGAAGGUGUACGGCCACAAUGGGACUGAGAUACGGCCCAGACUCCUACGGGAGGCAGCAGUGGGGAAUAUUGCACAAUGGGGGCAAGCCUGAUGCAGCGACGCCGCGUGGGGGAUGACGGCCUUCGGGUUGUAAACUCCUUUCGCUAGGGACGAAGCGCAAGUGACGGUACCUGGAGAAGAAGCACCGGCUAACUACGUG